CUGAAUAUGUAAUUAGAUUGUGUGGAAAUGUAAUUGGUUGGAAGUCUAAAAAACAAAGGUGUGUGACAAAAGCCUCGACGUAUGCAGAGUAUGUAGCCCUAUCGGAAGCGGUGAGUGAAUUAAUGUCUAUUAGGGAAAUUAUGAAAAUCUUCAAUGUAAAUCUAGACGAUAACCCUGUAAAAAUUUAUGAGGAUAACUCUGGAGUGAUAAGUAUAGCAAA
rnacentral:misc_RNA from 1 species